GGUAGUAUGGCUGAUAUAGCGGUAAACUGUAAAUUUAUUCACAAGGCGUGGCCCUUUGCUACCA
rnacentral:tRNA from 1 species